GGAAGUUCUCAGGUGACGUACCCGGAAUCGUACCCGGAAUCGGGCUCCCUCCUGUCUGGUUCUGGGUGUGUCACCUGAGAACCGCA
rfam:Myotis lucifugus cont2.24034, whole genome shotgun sequence.